rnacentral:rRNA from 1 species
UACAGAGGGUGCAAGCGUUGUUCGGAAUUAUUGGGCGUAAAGCGCGUGUAGGCGGCCAAGCGAGUCGGGUGUGAAAGCCCUCGGCUUAACCGAGGAAGUGCGCCUGAAACUACUUGGCUUGAGUACCGGAGAGGGUGGCGGAAUUCCCGGUGUAGAGGUGAAAUUCGUAGAUAUCGGGAGGAACACCAGUGGCGAAGGCGGCGAUCUGGGAAGAUACUGACGCUGAGGUGCGAAAGCGUGGGGAGCAAACAGG